rnacentral:sRNA from 14 species
CAGUAAUGUAGUAAUAAUGAUCAUUUGAAAGUUGAAUUUUAACUGCUUAUUAUUUAGAAUGUUCAUCUAAAUCCUUGCAUUCAUUGUCUUUCCCACUGCUGACUGUGUGUGUGUGUGUGUGUGUGUGUUAACUAA